UCACCACACACUUUAGUUAAGAAGACAACCAACCAAUAUAGCACACAAUGACUUACACUCGAAACAAUUAUCAUCCUUAUAAUAAUUAUAUCUUUUGAUCGCGAGCAAGAUUUAAGAACUAUACGAUAAAUCCUCCUUUAUCAUUUUGAAAGUAGCUCUAAAGAUUUCAUCAUAACAUAUAAGUUCUAUUUAGGAAGAUAUAUUCCUUAUGAUGAAUCUUACUAGAUAAUAUUUAUCACUUUAUAAUUUAUAUACAUAUAUAGAGCUCAAUCAUUUACAGUCUAGAUGAUUAGCUU
rnacentral:lncRNA from 1 species